rnacentral:rRNA from 1 species
UACAGAGGGGGCAAGCGUAUUCGGAAUUAUUGGGCGUAAAGGGCGCGUAGGCGGCCUGGCAAGUGGAAGGUGAAAUCCCUCGGCUUAACCGAGGAACUGCCCUCCAAACUGCUUGGCUUGAGUCCGGGAGAGGUGAGUGGAAUUCACGGUGUAGCAGUGAAAUGCGUAGAUAUCGUGAGGAAUACCAGAGGCGAAGGCGGCUACCUGGACAAUUGCUGACGCUCAGGCACGGAAAGCCGUGGGGAGCAAAAGGG